CGGACGUAGCCAAGUGAUAAGGCA
rnacentral:tRNA from 1 species